AUUGAACGCUGGCGGCAUGCCUUACACAUGCAAGUCGAACGGUAACGGGCCUUCGGGUGCCGACGAGUGGCGAACGGGUGAGUAAUAUAUCGGAACGUGCCCAGUAGUGGGGGAUAGCCCGGCGAAAGCCGGAUUAAUACCGCAUGAGACCUGAGGGUGAAAGCGGGGGAUCGCAAGACCUCGCGCUAUUGGAGCGGCCGAUAUCAGAUUAGCUAGUUGGUGGGGUAAAGGCCUACCAAGGCAACGAUCUGUAGUUGGUCUGAGAGGACGACCAGCCACACUGGGACUGAGACACGGCCCAGACUCCUACGGGAGGCAGCAGUGGGGAAUUUUGGACAAUGGGCGCAAGCCUGAUCCAGCAAUGCCGCGUGCAGGAAGAAGGCCUUCGGGUUGUAAACUGCUUUUGUCAGGGAAGAAAUCUUCUGGGUUAAUACCUCGGGAGGAUGACGGUACCUGAAGAAUAAGCACCGGCUAACUACGUGCCAGCCGCCGCCGUAAAAC
rnacentral:rRNA from 1 species